UACAGAGGUCUCGAGCGUUGUUCGGAUUCAUUGGGCGUAAAGGGCGCGUAGGCGGCGGGGUAAGUCUGGUGUGAAAUCUCGGAGCUCAACUCCGAAAUUGCACUGGAUACUGCUCUGCUAGAGGGCUGGAGAGGAGAUCGGAAUUCACGGUGUAGCAGUGAAAUGCGUAGAUAUCGUGAGGAAGACCAGUGGCGAAGGCGGAUCUCUGGACAGUUCCUGACGCUGAGGCACGAAGGUCAGGGGAGCAAACGGG
rnacentral:rRNA from 1 species